rnacentral:pre_miRNA from 7 species
GCACCAUCCUGAGAGCAGUGCUUGGUUUGCAGGCAGUGUAGUUAGCUGAUUGUACCCAGCGCCCCACAAUCACUAAAUUCACUGCCAUCAAAACAAGGCACAGGACCCCGUGUGACAGC